rnacentral:antisense_RNA from 1 species
GAUAACCAAGAAUAAUACGAGGGUCUAAUGUUGGAUUUAUAAGUCUAACUUCACCACCACCAGGGGCCCAUGUAUCAUAAGCUCCACCGAUGAAGCACCAGUUUAGAGACCAAGCAAGAGCACCUACUCCAAGAACAAUAAGAUGAUAUCCAAGGAUAUUUGUCAUCUGAUUUUUAUCUCUCCA